rnacentral:rRNA from 1 species
AGUGAGCGCUGGCGGUAGGCCUAACACAUGCAAGUCGAACGGCAGCACAGUAAGAGCUUGCUCUUACGGGUGGCGAGUGGCGGACGGGUGAGGAAUACAUCGGAAUCUACUUUUUCGUGGGGGAUAACGUAGGGAAACUUACGCUAAUACCGCAUACGACCUACGGGUGAAAGCAGGGGAUCUUCGGACCUUGCGCGAUUGAAUGAGCCGAUGUCGGAUUAGCUAGUUGGCGGGGUAAAGGCCCACCAAGGCGACGAUCCGUAGCUGGUCUGAGAGGAUGAUCAGCCACACUGGAACUGAGACACGGUCCAGACUCCUACGGGAGGCAGCAGUGGGGAAUAUUGGACAAUAGGCGCAAUCCUGAUCCAGCCAUACCGCAUGGGUGAAGAAGGCCUUCGGGUUGUAAAGCCCUUUUGUUGGGAAAGAAAAGCAGCAGGUUAAUACCCCGCUGUUCUGACGGUACCCAAAGAAUAAGCACCGGCUAACUUCGUG